UCGAACGCGAAAGUCCCCUUCGGGGGGCGAGUAGAGUGGCGCACGGGUGAGUAACACGUAGGUAAUCUACCUUUGGAUGGGGAAUAACAACCGGAAACGGUUGCUAAUACCGCAUAAUGCAGCGGCACCUAAUGGUGACAGUUGUUAAAGCGGGGGAUCGCAAGACCUCGCGUCUGAAGAGGAGCCUGCGGCAGAUUAGCUAGUUGGUAGGGUAACGGCUUACCAAGGCGAUGAUCUGUAGCCGGCCUGAGAGGGCGGUCGGCCACACUGACACUGACAUACGGGUCAGACUCCUACGGGAGGCAGCAGUCGGGAAUUUUGGGCAAUGGGCGAAAGCCUGACCCAGCAACGCCGCGUGAAGGAUGAAAUCCCUCGGGAUGUAAACUUCGCAAGAACGGGAAGAAUAAGUAAGAGUUAAUAUCUCUUAUGAUGACGGUACUGUUUGUAAGCUCCGGCUAACUCCGUGCCAGCAGCCGCGGUAAUACGGGGGGAGCAAGCGUUGUUCGGAUUUACUGGGCGUAAAGGGCGCGUAGGCGGCCACCGCAAGUCGACUGUGAAAUCUCCGGGCUUAACUCGGAAAGGUCAGCCGAUACUGCGGGGCUAGAGUGCAGAAGGGGCAACUGGAAUUCUCGGUGUAGCGGUGAAAUGCGUAGAUUUCGAGAGGAACACCUGCGGCGAAGGCGGGUUGCUGGGCUGACACUGACGCUGAGGCGCGAAAGCUAGGGGAGCGAACGGGAUUAGAUACCCCGGUAGUCCUAGCCUUAACGAUGAAUGCUUGGUGUCUGGGUUUUAUAGUCCCCGGGUGCCGUCGCUAACGCUUUAAGCAUCCGCCUGGGGAGUACGGUC
rnacentral:rRNA from 1 species